rnacentral:hammerhead_ribozyme from 1 species
AACUGGUCGGGAACUGGAGCCGUUCCCCUGAUGAGGGCAAGGCAUGGCGAAACCAGUC